rnacentral:misc_RNA from 1 species
ACAACGGGGUUUUCCAGAGGAUUUUCGAUUGAGUCGCACAAGAGUAGACAUUUGUUAAAAUAUCCAAAUGAGUUUAGAAAAAUUUGUAAACCAACACAUUCAGCUUCUUGAUAAGGAGCGAGAGGCUGAGAUAGAAGAGACGAGACAUGUCAAUGAAACAUUGCCACCAAAGGAGCUUCAAAGGAGAGGAGUUUGUUUGCUGAAGCUUCAUAUUAGAUCCCGUCGAACUGGCUUUUAUGGGAGAACAGUUGUCACGUUUGAACCAGGAGGAGCACUCCAAGAGUUACCUGCCCAUAAUAUUACACCUGGUGAUAUAGUUAGCCUGACUGCCAGCUCGGCCCAUCAAGGCGAUGAGGGUUUUGGGUCAGGCAUUGUGACACAUGCUGGAAAGUCGGCCAUUAGUGUAGCAUUUGAUGACAAGGAGGAUUUGUAUGAUUUACAGGAGGAGGAUCUCUACAAGCUUACCAAGCUUGCUAAUGAUGUCACGUACAAACGACUAAAAAAGUGAGCAGAAGAACUCUACAUUUCAUGUUGAAAGAAUGUAUAAUAAAAAUCUAUUUUCUCUUGGGUUACACAGAUUAGAAAUUGUCCAGGAUAAUAUACACAUAUCUCAUGUAGUAUUCUAGAGGGCAGCAGAAUUGAUGUUUAACCCCAUGCACAGCACACACAAAAAAAUUGCAUAACUGGUUCUCAAUCUGAAUGUUUUAUCGAAUACAAACUCAGUUACAAAACUUCAUUGCGGCUUCUGUGCAGAAUUUCUUACUGUGUUGGAUGUAAACAGCAUUGAUUUGUGUUUUUAUUUAUCUCCAGUGCACUGAAUAAUCUGAAAAAGGGUGAUUUUGGUGGAUCAAGUAGACUUGUGGAUGUGUUGUUUGGAGAAACAGACCUGUCUUCUCCUUACAACCUCAAAGACAUUCACCUGGUAAAUUCUGGACUGGAUGAGUCACAAGAAGAUGCUGUUAGGUUUGCUCUUGCUCAGCCAGAAGUAGCCAUUGUGCAUGGUCCUCCAGGCACAGGGAAGACCACUACUGUCAUAGAAAUCAUCAUCCAGGCUAUCAAGCAGGGCAACAAGAUUUUGGCUUGUGCACCAUCUAACAUUGCUGUUGACAAUUUAGUGGAACGACUGGCCCAGCAUAAACAAAAGGUGGUGCGACUUGGUCAUCCAGCAAGAGUUCUGCCACAUAUACAGAAAUAUUCUCUAGAUGCUAUCUUGUCUUCCAGUGAAGAAACACGUCUAGUGGAGGAUGUCCGCAAAGAUCUUGAUAAAAAUCUGUCUGCCAUUAGAAAAACCAGAGAUCAUGGAGAAAAGCAAAAAAUACGAGAAGACGUAAAGUAUUUACGAAAAGAAUUGAGACAGAGGGAGGAAGCUGCCUCCAAAGAAGUCCUGAAAAGAGCUGAUGUUGUCUUAGCAACCCUUAGCUCAGCUGACCCGAGAGGACCAAUUAGAUAUCUCGAUAAUGAACACUUUGAUCUGGUUGUGAUUGAUGAAUGUUCACAGGCGGUUGAGGCGGCCUGUUGGAUUCCCCUUUUGAGGGCCCCACGGUGUGUUUUAGCUGGAGACCAUUUACAGCUUCCACCCACAAUACUCAGCAAAGAAGCUGCUAGUGCCGGCCUAGAGACAACCUUGAUGGAGAGACUUCUUGACCUUUAUGGUGGCAAGGUCAUGAGGAUGCUGACCACUCAGUACAGGAUGCACCAGCUGAUCAUGCAGUGGUCCUCGGAUCAGCUGUACGAGGGCAAGCUCACUGCUAACUCCUCAGUGGCUACACAUCUCCUCAGAGACAUUGAAAAGGUGGAGGAGACUGAGGAGACAUCGGAGCCGCUGUUGUUGAUUGACACAGCAGGUUGUCAGCUUUAUGAACUCGAUGUCCCCGAGGAAAUCUCUAAGGGAAAUGAAGGUGAGGCAGACAUUGUCAGCAGCCAUGUUGAAAAACUUAUCAAACUAGGAUUGAACCAGGAGGAGAUAGCAGUUAUUGCCCCAUACAACUUACAGGUUGAGCUGUUGAGAUUACGACUUUCCAAUGAUUAUCCAAAAGUGGAAAUCAAAUCAGUGGACGGAUUUCAAGGAAGAGAGAAGGAGGCUGUCAUUAUAUCCCUGGUCAGGAGUAACAAGAAAGGUGAAGUAGGAUUUCUAGCAGAAAAGAGAAGAAUCAAUGUAGCCAUAACCAGAGCGCGGCGCCACCUAGCAGUGGUGUGUGAUAGUGAGACAGUGGGGCACGACGCCUUCCUCAAAUCUCUAGUGGACUAUAUGUCAGCUAAUGGGGUUGUGAAAACGGCUCAGGAAUUUGUAGAGGCUGGAAUCGUAUAUAACAAAGUAACAAGACCAGAUCAUCUCAAUGACCUCUUGACCUUACCAAGCAACAACAAGGGAGCAAAACCAAAGUCUGCCAAAAACCAAAGGAAAUCUCAAAACAAGCAGAAACCAGCCAAGACAGAAGGCCAAAUUCCUGAAGCAGAGAAAUAUCAGAAAACAGAAGAAGAAACAAAUGAAAGGAUCCAAGAAUUUCAGGGAUAUUUAGAUACAUUUGUACAGGAACCAUCUUCAGGAGAGUUGGAAUUUCCUUCCUCCCUGAACUCACAUGAUAGGAUGCUUGUUCAUGAGUUGUCAGAGAAGAUGGGACUGAUACACAUUAGCAAAGGGGCUGGCAAAGAGAGACAUAUAGUGGUGUCAAAACCAGGUGGUGGUGGUGGCCAUGAUGUUGUCAAGUGUUCAUCAAAACAACAUUUAGAAAAGGAAAAGAUUUCAGAGGAGAAGGUAGCUGGAGCACAAAAUGUGGAGCUACCAUCUCAGGCAGAGGAAGAAUUUCCAGAGGAUAAGGAAUCACAAGCUGCUCCAAAUCAGAAAGAACUCGAUAAAAUUGUGUGUAGACUUUGCAGCAAGUCAGUUAUUAAAGCAAACAUUCAGUUACAUGAAACUCACUGUUUACGAAUGCAGAGACAGAAAUCUGCACCCAAAUCUGCUGAUUCUAGUAGCAAAAAGCAUAAAGAUCAAAGCACACCAAGAGCACCGAAUGCCCAUGCAGAUGUGGUAGCCAAAUUGGAGAAGGUGGAUGGUGAUGAUUUGGACAGUAUGAUUGCUGCGGUUCAGAGCGUGGAUAGGGAGUGUAGUUUUAAGAAAUGUAAGACCAGCACUAGAACACUGGGUCAUAAUUGUGAAUUCUGUAGGAGAAGGUUCUGUCUCAAUCAUCACAUACCGGAAGUCCAUGGAUGUGGAGAUGCAGCAAAGGCCCAUGCCCGAGCAACAAUUAUCAGAGAGGGGGUGCUGUACAGAGGUAGUGGGGUGCCCGACAAAAGGCCUGACCCCACACGCAAGGCCCAACUUCAAAAGAAGUUGGAUAAAAAAUUAACUGAUAUGGCUACCAAACGGCAGGGCAAGAAACAAAAGAAAUAAUGUGUGUUUAUUUAUAGAGAGUGUGAUUUGUUGAUUUUGAAUUGUUUCUAAGCAUUGAAUAAAUUAGUGCUUUUAUUGG